rnacentral:rRNA from 1 species
UACGGAGGGGGUUAGCGUUGUUCGGAAUUACUGGGCGUAAAGCGCACGUAGGCGGAUUGGAAAGUAUGGGGUGAAAUCCCAGGGCUCAACCCUGGAACUGCCUUGUAAACUCCCAGUCUAGAGUUCGAGAGAGGUGAGUGGAAUUCCAAGUGUAGAGGUGAAAUUCGUAGAUAUUUGGAGGAACACCAGUGGCGAAGGCGGCUCACUGGCUCGAUACUGACGCUGAGGUGCGAAAGUGUGGGGAGCAAACAGG